CAUUUUCAAAGACAAUGAUGGGAAUUAAUGUGGUAAUUGUUACAGGGAGGAGCAGUCAGAGAUAGAUGUCGCUGCUGGCUUCUAUGUGUUAUUUGGAUCAGGGCUCUUGUUGUCUUUUAUCCUCGCGAUUUACGUCUUACAGUCCUCUCAGGACAAAUUGGCCAGGUUUGUGAGGGAGACUGUUGCUGAAAGCAGCAUGCCUAGUGGAGGGGUGGCAAAAGUCGAGUGACAAAACUCUUAGAAGCUAUCAAAUACCCAUUGUCAGGUUAGAAGUUCCUGUGAUAAAAAAGCGAGUCACUGGAGAUCUAAUUUUGAGCUGUACAAGGAUGAAGUGGAUGUGAUCUUCUGGUGAUUUUCCAUUGUUGAAUAUUGCUGUAGGACUCGGACUAUGAAAGAGACCAACUCCAAUUACCAAAAGAAAAGGAAUAUACUAGUCUUAACAAUGAGGAAAAAGUUUGCCAGUUGGGUCACCUUGAAUCACCUAGCAAGUCUGUCAAUCGAGACAAACGUUUGCUAAUUUCACAAAUAUUUUGAUCACUAUGAUAUCUGUAAUAUUGAAGUUCAGUCUCUAGUAGUGGAUUGAACUAGUGAGUGAACAGAAAUGAACAGAAAUGAAAAUUUUACAAAAUGGACCACAUCA